UACGUAGGGGGCUAGCGUUGUCCGGAUUUAUUGGGCGUAAAGAGCUCGUAGGCGGCUCAUUGCGUCAACCGUGAAAACCAGCAGCUCAACUGUUGGCUUGCGGUUGAUACGGGUGGGCUGGAGUUCGGUAGGGGAGACUGGAAUUCCUGGUGUAGCGGUGAAAUGCGCAGAUAUCAGGAGGAACACCAAUGGCGAAGGCAGAUCUCUGGGCCGUAACUGACGCUGAGGAGCGAAAGCAUGGGGAGCGAACAGG
rnacentral:rRNA from 1 species